GACGAACGCUGGCGGCGUGCUUAACACAUGCCAGUCGAACGGAAAGGCCCUGCUUUUGUGGGGUGCUCGAGUGGCGAACGGGUGAGUAACACGUGAGUAACCUGCCCUUGACUUUGGGAUAACUUCAGGAAACUGGGGCUAAUACCGGAUAGGAGCUCCUGCUGCAUGGUGGGGGUUGGAAAGUUUCGGCGGUUGGGGAUGGACUCGCGGCUUAUCAGCUUGUUGGUGGGGUAGUGGCUUACCAAGGCUUUGACGGGUAGCCGGCCUGAGAGGGUGACCGGCCACAUUGGGACUGAGAUACGGCCCAGACUCCUACGGGAGGCAGCAGUGGGGAAUAUUGCACAAUGGGCGGAAGCCUGAUGCAGCAACGCCGCGUGCGGGAGGACGGCCUUCGGGUUGUAAACCGCUUUCGCCUGUGACGAAGCGUGAGGGACGGUAAUGGGUAAAGAAGCACCGGCUAACUACGU
rnacentral:rRNA from 1 species